CGUGCAAAGACAUAUCCUUUCCGGGAAGAUCAGCCCCAGAAUGUUUGAUGCAAUUCCUUCCAAAGAGAAAAAAAAAAAAAGCCUAAAGAAGGUGAAAGCAUUGUGGAAGAAGCACCAGCUGAUAUUUCGUCACUUCUGGAGUUGAAAUGGAUAUGCUAUGACUCAUGAUAUGGUAAAUUGGUGUUCUGCUCUUUCUAGUGAUGUGCCCACUAUCAUUUAAUUGAUGUUUUUUGCUGAUCAAGUGCCACCUAGUGUUCAGGUAUAGGUAUUGCUUGCACAACAAUGAUUAACUUGAGAUAUGUCGAUGCUACAAGGCAAUAGGUGAGAUUCCAUUAGUGAAAGGAAACCCAGAGCAGUGGACAUUGGUGAAGGGAAACCCAAAGCAGUGUACACUGAUUCCAGGGAAAAUCUGCUGGUGCUCAGUUCCAUCACCACAUGAUCCUAUGCGUCAAGCCUUCUUAGUGCCUCUUUAGAGGAUACAAAUCUCUCAGAAAAUUCCAAUUGAGGUUGCUUCUGAAACAAUUGAAGUUGGAGGUUAUCCAAUGGCCUGCUUUUUGGAGUACUUUCAAAGAUGAAUUUGAGAAUGAGAAAACAU